UACAGAGGGUGCGAGCGUUAAUCGGAAUUACUGGGCGUAAAGCGCACGUAGUCGGCUUUGCAAGUCGGUUGUGAAAUCCCCGGGCUCAACCUGGGAACUGCAUCCGAGACUGCAUUGCUAGAGUAUGGGAGAGGGAAGCGGAAUUUCUGGUGUAGCAGUGAAAUGCGUAGAUAUCAGGAGGAACACCGAUGGCGAAGGCAGGUCUCUGGGCUGACACU
rnacentral:rRNA from 1 species